rnacentral:rRNA from 1 species
UACGUAGGUGGCAAGCGUUGUCCGGAUUUACUGGGCGUAAAGAGCGCGCAGGCGGUCGUACAAGUCGCGUGUGAAAGCCCCCGGCUCAACUGGGGAGGGUCACGCGAUACUGUUCGACUCGAAGGCAGGAGAGGGAAGCGGAAUUCCCGGUGUAGUGGUGAAAUGCGUAGAUAUCGGGAGGAACACCAGUGGCGAAGGCGGCUUCCUGGCCUGUUCUUGACGCUGAGGCGCGAAAGCUAGGGUAGCAAACGGGG